rnacentral:rRNA from 1 species
GGAAUUUUCCGCAAUGGGCGAAAGCCUGACGGAGCAAGACCGCGUGAGGGAGGAAGGCUCUUGGGUUGUAAACCUCUUUUCUCAGGGAAGAAGAAAGUGACGGUACCUGAGGAAUCAGCAUCGGCUAACUCCGUGCCAGCAGCCGCGGUAAUACGGAGGAGGCAAGCGUUAACCGGAAUUAUUGGGCGUAAAGCGGCCGCAGGUGGCUUGCUCAAGUCUGCUGUCAAAGACCGGGGCUUAACUCCGGAAAGGCAGUGGAAACUGACAAGCUAGAGGGCUCUAGGGGUAGAGGGAAUUCCCGGUGUAGCGGUGAAAUGCGUAGAGAUCGGGAAGAACAUCGGUGGCGAAAGCGCUCUACUGGAGAGCAACUGACACUCAGGGACGAAAGCUAGGGGAGCGAAU